GUCGAGCGAAUGGAUUAAGAGCUUGCUCUUAUGAAGUUAGCGGCGGACGGGUGAGUAACACGUGGGUAACCUGCCCAUAAGACUGGGAUAACUCCGGGAAACCGGGGCUAAUACCGGAUAACAUUUUGAACCGCAUGGUUCGAAAUUGAAAGGCGGCUUCGGCUGUCACUUAUGGAUGGACCCGCGUCGCAUUAGCUAGUUGGUGAGGUAACGGCUCACCAAGGCAACGAUGCGUAGCCGACCUGAGAGGGUGAUCGGCCACACUGGGACUGAGACACGGCCCAGACUCCUACGGGAGGCAGCAGUAGGGAAUCUUCCGCAAUGGACGAAAGUCUGACGGAGCAACGCCGCGUGAGUGAUGAAGGCUUUCGGGUCGUAAAACUCUGUUGUUAGGGAAGAACAAGUGCUAGUUGAAUAAGCUGGCACCUUGACGGUACCUAACCAGAAAGCCACGGCUAACUACGUGCCAGCAG
rnacentral:rRNA from 1 species